UCCCAGACUCCUACGGGAGGCAGUAGUGGGGAAUAUUGGACAAUGGGGGAAACCCUGAUCCAGCGACGCCGCGUGAGUGAAGAAGUAUUUCGGUAUGUAAAGCUCUAUCAGCAGGGAAGAAGAAAUGACGGUACCUGACUAAGAAGCCCCGGCUAACUACGUGCCAGCAGCCGCGGUAAUACGUAGGGGGCAAGCGUUAUCCGGAUUUACUGGGUGUAAAGGGAGCGUAGACGGUAAGGCAAGUCAGAUGUGAAAGCCCGGGGCUCAACCGCGGGACUGCAUUUGAAACUGUCCUACUGGAGUGCAGGAGAGGUAAGUGGAAUUCCUAGUGUAGCGGUGAAAUGCGUAGAUAUAAGGAAGAACACCAGUGGCGAAGGCGGAUGACUGGACGGCAACUGACGGUGAGGCGCGAAAGCGUGGGGAGCAAACAGGAUUAGAUACCCCAGUAUGA
rnacentral:rRNA from 1 species